rnacentral:tRNA from 3 species
GGGCGGUUAGCUCAGUUGGUAGAGCGUCUCGUUUACACCGAGGUUGUCGGGGGUUCGAGUCCCUCACCGCCCA